rnacentral:rRNA from 1 species
AUUGAACGCUGGCGGCAUGCCUUACACAUGCAAGUCGAACGGCAGCGGGGGAGAAGCUUGCUUUUCCUGCCGGCGAGUGGCGAACGGGUGAGUAAUACAUCGGAACGUGCCCUGUAGUGGGGGAUAACUAGUCGAAAGAUUAGCUAAUACCGCAUACGACCUGAGGGUGAGAGUGGGGGACCGCAAGGCCUCAUGCUAUAGGAGCGGCCGAUGUCUGAUUAGCUAGUUGGUGGGGUAAAGGCCUACCAAGGCGACGAUCAGUAGCUGGUCUGAGAGGACGAUCGGCCACACUGGGACUGAGACACGGACCAGACUCCUACGGGAGGCAGCAGUGGGGAAUUUUGGACAAUGGGCGAAAGCCUGAUCCAGCAAUGCCGCGUGUGUGAAGAAGGCCUUCGGGUUGUAAAGCACUCUUGUCCGGAAAGAAAUGGCUUUGGUUAAUACCUGGGGUCGAUGACGGUACCGGAAGAAUAAGGACCGGCUAACUACGUGCCAGCCGCCGCGGUAAGAC